ACACUUCUUUCCCACAUCAGAUGUUUCUUAAAGUAUGGAGGGGGUGCCACUAACAUAACACUCCAUACCUCAUUCCAGCGCUUCUAACAAGUUUCCUGAUGUGGCAUUCUGGGAACAAAACCUACCCUUUACCAGUGGCCCCACGAGAUUCCACAAAAGAGGUGAAAUCAGUAUUGAAGUGGCCUUAUGAAGAUGGGAGCAGGACUAUCCUAACAGACUGCUGACUUCUUACCCAAGGGGGAUAACCAUGGCCUAAGGUGAUCUCAGUGGGACCCACACUGUGGUUAUAAGUGGACAGGGUGGUGUUCACGGAGUUGCUACAAACAACACAGGAUCUGGCAUCGGACAUCCUGCACAUAAAACCUUCCUUACCGUAUAUUAAUGGAGUGACUUGGCGAAGCUACUUAACUUCCUUCAGCUUCAGUUUCUUCAUUUGUAAAAUAGGAAUGUAAAAAAAACAUCUUCCCCAGAGAUUGCACAUGAAGAUGAAGUGAGGCCUCAUUCUUAGACAGAAUCAUCUACUGGAGAGGAGAAGACCUAUCAUUCUCAACAGAUGAUCAAAGGCCCUGGGUCUGGUUCUCAAUGCCUGAAGUAGGAGUGAAGUUGCUGGAUCAUACGGUAAUUCUAUGUCUGACUUAUUGAGGAACUGCCAAAAGUAUCACCGUUUUACAUUCCCACCAGCAAGUCCAAUGAUAAGCUGUGGACACCAUAGUUUAAGAAGGUCAAAAAGAACUGAAAGUGGUGAGUCCCCCAAAUGAUUCAAAUGUGGAAAAAGAAGACCUGUGAGAAAAGAUGAAGGCAUUGCUAUUAACUUGUAGAAAGAAGGUUGAUGGAAAAUUAUGUGGUCUACAAAUAUAUCACAGAGUAUUAUUUUGUAAAAGUCAAGUUAAUUAUCUAUCGAUGACAAAACUUGAAGAAAAUGAUUUUAUCCCAGAGCAUGAAAGGUUUAAAGGGUCAUAAGAGAGAAUUUUCUGGUGUGGGAUUUCCCUGGUGGCACAGUGGUUAAGAAUCCACCUGCCAAUGCAGGGGACGCAGGUUCAAUCCCUGGUCCGGGAAGAUCCCACGUGCCGUGCAGCAACUAAGCCCGUGUGCCACAGCUACUGAUCCUGCGCUCUAGAGCCCGUGA